rnacentral:lncRNA from 1 species
AAAAUCUCAUCCUUGCAAAAAGUGUGUACGUUACUAUCAUAGAAACUAUGCAGAGAUUUAUGAUCACCUUGUAGUUAAUGGUAUAAUGCUUGGGUAUAAUGCUUUGGAGUCUAUUACAUAUGCAACCAUUUCUAUUGGAGUCACUAUUAAUGGGAAAGAAACAUCUAGAGGCAAUGAUAUGGUCAAAAUGAUACGUGAAGCAUUUGGAGUUUAUGAUGAAGUAAAUUUAAAUUCAAAUACAGAGCCUUUAAGUGAGACAAAUUUAGAAAGAUUGGUAGAAUCAGAAUUCAUAGAGCAUUCUCUGUCAGAUGUUGAAAAAUU